rnacentral:lncRNA from 1 species
CCAGCCCGCGCGCGUGAAGCAGCUAGCCGACCAAGCCCCGCAAGGGCUUUGACUCCUGAGUCUGAAAAAGGCAGAGAUUCCUGCUAAAUCUUGAACACUGAUGCCAGUCAAAGCCUCAUCUUCAGACCUGGGAGAAGGUGACAAUCGAAAUGAAAUGCUUUCAUGAGACGCAGGGCCAGUAAUUACAAGUAUUCAAUCCCCCUAGGCCCAGGGACUAUCGCGGAAGAGGUGGGCGCGUGAGAUUGUAAGGGCCAACUUUGAGGGAUAAAAUUAGAGUUUUUCUAUAAACAUUAAUAUCAAAGGCACACUGAUGCCAGGCAAGCAUCUGGCCCCUGUGUCGGAAUAACAAUUUUCCUGGACGACUGAUCUACUCUUUAAUAGAAAAUUGUAAAAGGUUAUACAAGGCGUAUGGAAAUCUUACUUCGUGGUCAAACUGAUUAAAAUUAGAUUUGUUUAUAAGGUUUUAUUAGCUUUAACAUUAAUAAUACCCCUAAAACAUUAAUAAGAGAUCAAAGAUUUUUGUUUACCUUUUAAGUAAACUACAGGAAAAAAAAAGGAGAGAGACAGACAUUUAGUUGGCUUCCUGCUGUCUUCAUUGGAUCUUACAUUUGGGGAAACUGAGUCUCCUUCAUAUCAAUGAGUAAAGGUCUUUGGUGUUUUGGUUUUUUGUUUUUUUUGAAAUCUUUGAAUUAUCGUUUUGGCUAAAUGAAUAACUAUUUUAUAAUGAACUGUGAUCCUAUUUUGUGGCAUCAAAUGUUUUAAACUUUUGAUGUUCGACUGAUGAACUUCCCAACAUCAAAAUUUCAACUUCUGGCCGGCUACAGUGGCUCAUGUCUAUAAUCCCAGCACUUUGGGAGGCUGAGACAAGGCAGGCAGAUCAUUUGAGUUCAGGAAUUUGAGACUAGCCUGGCUAAAAUGGUGAAACUCCACCUCUACUAAAACUACAAAAAUUAGCCAGGUGUGGUGGUGUGUGCCUGUAAUCCCAGCUACUAGAGAAUCACUUGAACCUGAGAGGCGGAAGUUGCAGUGAG